rnacentral:rRNA from 1 species
GAUGAACGCUAGCGGCAGGCCUAACACAUGCAAGUCGAGGGGUAACGAUGGCUUCGGCCAGGCGACGACCGGCGCACGGGUGAGUAUCGCGUUUGUAACCUACCUCUAACUGGGGAAUAGCCCGAAGAAAUUCGGAUUAAUACUCCAUAAUACUAUGAUCUGGCAUCUUUUUAUAGUUAAAGCUCCGGCGGUUAGAGAUGGGCAUGCGUGACAUUAGUUUGUUGGUGAGGUAAGAGCUCACCAAGACUACGAUGUCUAGGGGGUCUGAGAGGAUGGUCCCCCACACUGGUACUGAGACACGGACCAGACUCCUACGGGAGGCAGCAGUGAGGAAUAUUGGUCAAUGGGCGCAAGCCUGAACCAGCCAUGCCGCGUGAAGGAUGACGGCGCUAUGCGUUGUAAACUUCUUUUGUACAGGAAGAAACACU